AGAGUUUGAUCCUGGCUCAGGACGAACGCUGGCGGCGUGCCUAAUACAUGCAAGUAGAACGCUGAAGAGAGGAGCUUGCUCUUCUUGGAUGAGUUGCGAACGGGUGAGUAACGCGUAGGUAACCUGCCUUGUAGCGGGGGAUAACUAUUGGAAACGAUAGCUAAUACCGCAUAACAAUGGAUGACUCAUGUCAUUUAUUUGAAAGGGGCAAAUGCUCCACUACAAGAUGGACCUGCGUUGUAUUAGCUAGUAGGUGAGGUAACGGCUCACCUAGGCGACGAUACAUAGCCGACCUGAGAGGGUGAUCGGCCACACUGGGACUGAGACACGGCCCAGACUCCUACGGGAGGCAGCAGUAGGGAAUCUUCGGCAAUGGGGGCAACCCUGACCGAGCAACGCCGCGUGAGUGAAGAAGGUUUUCGGAUCGUAAAGCUCUGUUGUAAGUCAAGAACGAGUGUGAGAGUGGAAAGUUCACACUGUGACGGUAGCUUACCAGAAAGGGACGGCUAACUACGUGCCAGCAGCCGCGGU
rnacentral:rRNA from 1 species